GGUGGAGACAAGGAGAAACGAAGAAGUUCAAAAGAACGUGACCUCAUUUCAAAAGAAAACGUUUUGUACGGCAAAGAGCGUGAGAGAUGCCAAGGUAGAAUGGACAAGAAUAAAAACACUGAGAAAGAGCAUUACCAAAGCAAAAGGGAACAUGCUCCCUUGUGAAGAAAAGGAGAGUCAAAAAGCAGGUCCUUCCAGCAAGAGGAGGUGUUCUCAGAGCGUGGAAAUUGUUGAGCAAAAGCGUCACAAGCAGGAGCACUGGGAGGGAAGCAGGUGCAGAUCUUUCCCUGGUGAAAGAAACAGCCCUGAGAAUGGCAGAAGAGCAGUCAAAUAUUCAAAGUACAGAUCUGGCAGCGGAGGAAGAUCAGAACAAGGUAGCAAUAGAUAUUACCGAUCCAAAGGGGAAAGAAGUUGGAGCAGAGAAAGAUACUAUCGAGAUGAAGCACGGAGAUGGGAAAGAUGUAGCUAUUACAAUGAUUACUAUUCAGCUCAUGCGACAGGAGACAGUAGAGAGAGAAAGUUCUCUCACGGCGAUGCAGCCUUUGACAAAUGGACUGCAACUUACUAUGGCAGGUCACAUAAGCAUUAUCAUUACAAAAGAGGAUGGCCUCACGGUUCCCUCUUGAGAGAUGAAGAUGUACGUCGCUUUAGCACACCCCGAGCAGACUUGCGUCGUUGCUCGGUAUCUCAGCAACAUUCUGGAAGACAUUCUCGUGAAAGACAUGCGCUUCCACCUGUGUCAGCUCAUUUGGAGAACUGUCGCCAGAAAAAUGAAACAGAAGGAAACAGAAAAAGAAAAUAUACCUGUGCAGAAGGUAGUGAAAGUGAAAUAGAAAGGAAAGACAGAAAGAUAGAGAAGGAGCUUUUAGGUGGUGAAAAAAAUGCAAAACUAUCACAAGUUCUAGAAGAAAAAGAAGUCUAAGGAUAAACAUGGAGAGAAGGAUUCCAAACUUCACGAUUUGUGUUUCUGUGCGCUCCACUUUGACAAUGCCAAUCGCAAGCGUAAAAAAAGAAGAAAAAGGAGAAGAAAAAGAAGAAAAAAGAGAAACACCAGGAAAGUGAAAGGCUCCUUGGAACACUUAGAUCCUCGUUUCCAGAAGAGAACGCGGGAGAAGAAGGAAGAAUCCCAUCCUCCAGAUGGCUCUUCAUGUGAGCAAUGCAGAAGUGAGAGCAGUAAACAACCUUACAAGGAAGGGAAGCCUUCCAGUGCAGGCGAAAGCAAGAAAUACAGCUCCGUCUCAUCCAACGAGUGUAUUAAAGGUAAGCGGCCGC